AACUUGGGAUUUUGGCUUGUUGUUUGAUUUAUUAUAAUAUGUUUGGAAACAUAUACAUAAUUGCUUGUUUGGUUAUGACAGGGAUGUUGUGGGUGUAGAACAAAACAAAUGUUUAUGUUGACCCGUGUUUUUGUACAGGUUCAAGGGAAUCUUGGUUUUGUGAACAAAAUUUGUUUAUUUGUCACAAGGUUUUGUGUUUGGGAAAUAGUUUAAUAGGUAAGGUUAUUGACUAUAGAUUUUUGCUUGGGUAUAUAGCGUGACUAGUUGAAGCUAUUUUUAGGAUACAAAACUUGAAUUAGCUUCGCACUAUCUUGAUGAAGAGUGUGCGAAGCUUUUAUAUGUUUUGGUGUUGAAAUUUUGUAUUGUAGAUGAAGCAUUGGGGUUGAAGCUUGAUAGGUGAAGCUUUGGUGUUGAAGCUUUAUAGGUGAAGCUUUGUGUUUGAAGCUUUAUAGGUGAAGCUUUGGGGUUGAAGCUUGAUAGGUGAAGCUUUGGUGUUGAAGCUUUGGGGUUGAAGCUUUAUAGGUGAAGCUUUGGUGUUGAAGCUUUAUAGGUGAAGCUUUGGUGUUGAAGCUUUAUAGGUGAAGCUUUUGUGUUGGCACCAUAAAUUGAUUUUGUUUCACACUAUCUUGAUGAAGAUAGUGCGAAGCUUUUGAGAUUGAUAUUUGUCCUCAAUUGAUGAAGCUUUUGUUGGCACCAGAAAUUGAUUUUGCUUUACACUAUCUUGAUGAAGAUAGUGCGAAGCUUUUGAGAUUGAUAUGUGUCCUCCAUUGAUGAAGCUUUUGUUGGCACCAUAAAUUGAUUUUGCUUCACACUAUCUUGAUGAAGAUAGUGCGAAGCUUUUGAGAUUGAUAUUUUUCCUCCAUUGAUGAAGCUACUGUGUUCCCCCUUCGGAUUUUUUUUUUUUUCGGCUUUUUUGUUUUUGUUUUGUUUUUUUUUUGGAUUUUUUUUUUUUUUUGAAGGGGGAACUGAAACAUUUGAAAUUUGAAACUCCCUAGUGUUAUAAGUUUGAAGAUUUUCCAUGUGGGGCUUUUUCACGGUUUGAAUUUGAAUUUUGAAUAUCAAUAGCCAUGUUUAACUAUAUAUAAGAAGGAUAAGUUUCCAUUCUUUACCUUAACUUCAUUUGCUCAUCUUGUAGUGAUUUUUGAAGACAUAGUGCUCUUUACUUGAGAGGGAUUCUGACAUUGCUUUGCUGCACCAUCUUCAGGUUGGUAGUCUUCUCCACUAGAUCGGAUGUUUUCAUUCUUGUUGAAUUGUUUGAGUGUUCAUGUAUUCUGUUAAGAACAUAAGGAACUGGUUGAGCUUUUCUGCAUGCCCUAUGAGCUUCCUUAUGUUUUGAUCCUUCAUGUAGUGAUAGAGUUUGUUUCUGUUUGUUGUAGAUG
rnacentral:lncRNA from 1 species